CCCCGGCCCCGGGGGUUUCGGAACUGUGCUUUGCGAUGUCCUCGGACUGGCUCUUGAAUAUUCUUACGAAUAUACCGAUCGGCGACGCUACUGCUUUGGGUACUUUCAGGACCCGUCUUGAAACACGGACCAAGGAGUCUAACAUGUGCGCGAGUCAUUGGGUCAAUUAAAGCCUAAAGGCGCAAUGAAAGUAAAGGUCGUUUGAAACAUGGACCGGGGGGGGGGGGGGGUUCACGAUGUGAGCCCGCACUCCCGGGGCAUCUCGAUGUCAUGAGAACUG
rnacentral:rRNA from 1 species